rnacentral:rRNA from 1 species
AGCGAACGCUGGCGGCAUGCUUAACACAUGCAAGUCGCACGAAGGUUUCGGCCUUAGUGGCGGACGGGUGAGGAACGCGUAGGAAUCUAUCCAUGGGUGGGGGAUCACACUGGGAAAGUGGUGCUAAUACCGCAUGAUACCUGAGGGUCAAAGGCGCAAGUCGCCUGUGGAGGAGCCUGCGUUCGAUUAGGUAGUUGGUGGGGAAAAGGACCACCAAGGCGAUGAUCGAUAGCUGGUUUGAGAGGAUGAUCAGCCACACUGGGACUGAGACACGGCCCAGAAUCCUACGGGAGGCAGCAGUGGUGAAUAUUGUACAAUGUGAGCGACCCUGAUCCAGCAAUGUCGCGUGUGUGAAGAAGGUCUUCGGAUUGUAAAGCGCUUUCGACUGGGACGAUGAUGACGGUACCCGUAGAAGAAGCCCCGGCUAACUUCGUGCCAGCCGCCGCGGUAA